rnacentral:lncRNA from 1 species
AGCAGAACCCCGUGCCCAUCCUCCAUGGCACAGCAGUCUUGGCCGAUGAUGUCUGUAUGAGCUGUUGGCUGUUGUGCGAGGCCAGCUGGGGCCACAUGUGGACAGCCAGGAAGACCUGACCUUUCUCUGGGAUAUGUUUGGUGAGAAAAGCCUGCAUUCACUGGUAAAGGUCUGCUCUCCACUUGGCCUGUGCCAAAGGCCAUG